rnacentral:rRNA from 1 species
GACGAACGCUGGCGGCGUGCCUAAUACAUGCAAGUAGGACGCACAGUCUAUACCGUAGCUUGCUACACCAUAGGCUGUGAGUUGCGAACGGGUGAGUUACGCGUAGGUAACCUGCCUAUUAGAGUGGGAUAACUAUUGGAAACGAUAGCUAAUACCGCAUAACAGUUUGUAACACAUGUUAGAUGCUUGAAAGAUGCAAUUGCAUCGCUAGUAGAUGGACCUGCGUUGUAUUAGCUAGUAGGUAGGGUAAUGGCCUACCUAGGCGGGGAUACAUAGCCGAACGGGGAUGGUGGUCGGCCACACUGGGACUGAGACACGGCCCAGACUCCUACGGGAGGCAGCAGGAGGGAAUCUUCAGCAAUGGGGGGAACACUGACCGAGCUACGCCGCGUGAGUGAAGAAGGUUUUCGGGUCGUGAAGGACGGUUGUUAAGGAAGAAAGAGUGUGAGAAUGGAAAGAUCAUACUGUGACGGUACUUAGCCAGAAAGGGACGGCUAACUACGUG